UAGUUUUCUAAUAACAUAUUUUUAAAUAGUAUAUGAACUAAAGGUUAGUUAUAAAUUAUUAUAUUUUUGUAUAUUAAUUUUUUUAAACAAUAUAUUGUUGAGAGUUUCAAAAUAAAAACUAAAAUAAUAUAUCGUUGUAGAUACAAAAGUUUAACCUAUGUUAAUCAAAAUAAUGUUUUAAUUUUUUUUUUUUUUUUUUUCUAAAAAAUAUAAUAUAGUUGCUUUUACGAAUUUUAACACAUUUGAAUGAUGAGUGAUAAUUUAUUUAAAUGAAACUAUUUUAAAAAUAAAAUAGAUAAAUUUACUCAUAUUUAAUUCAUAUAGUACUUCUAUUUUAAUAUAAUACAUAAUAUAAUUAAAAAGUAUAUAAAAAUAGUAUAGAAUUUUAUUUUCUUGUUUUAUAAUAAAUGUUUAAUUAACAUUGAAUUAUAAAGUUAUAUUAGUAUUUACGAAAUUAAUUAUGUGUUAUUUUAUAAAAAUAUUUAGAAGGUUGGUAGGAUUUUGUUACAUUAUUUCUCAACAGAAUUUGUUAUACUUAAAAAUAAAUUGAUAUUUAUAUUUGUUUUAUUAUUAAUGUAAAUAAUGAAAUAUGUCAUAUUAAGUAAUUUUUUUAAAUGAUUUUAGUAUGACUUGUUAACAGUAGAUAAAAAUAUGACUCAAUUUUAAUGGAUUAGAUUCUAUAAGGACAUGCGCAUUGUUAGUCCGUCUCUCAUGGUAAAUUAAAUAAAAAUUAAUACCAGUUAAGAAAAAAGAAAGAGAAGGAACAUCCAGCUCUUCCCAGAAACUGUAUUUCAAUUUUUCUAUGAUAAACUUUUGACACAUAUGUCUAUGUCAUCAUUUGAGUAGAAAACUUUAUUAAUAUGUUAAAAUAUGUCUUACGAAACUGGGAAGCAGUCCCGUGCCUUCCAUAAGGCUGAUGAAGUAAGAGCUUCAGGCCACCAAAAAUUAUAAUUUUUGAGGCCACAUUUUCAAAAUAUUAACAUAGCUGAGUGGUUAAAAAUAUUAUUUUUGACUUCUUAGUUUAAGUAUUUUCUUUUCUAUAUUGUGAUUUUUCUUAAACUAUUAAAUGUUUCUUUUUUUAUUUUAUGUUCACAUUUUAUUUAUUUUUGUUUUGGACAACUGAUUUGUUAUUUCUUUUGUUUCUAUUAUCUUUGCUAUUUAUAACCAUUUAUCAUUGGGGGUUUUCUAAUCUCCAUCAUUGCAUAUGAAAUUAUAGAAAAUAAAGAAGAAUGUAAUGUGAUUGAAGGUGUAUGUGAGAAAGAAACUAAUGUUAGAAUAUAAUGGUUCAAAAAUAUUUUUUCUCUAAAACCUUUUAACAAAAAAAAUAAUGGUUAAAAAAACUACUAAAAUGUGAUUUGUUAUUUGUAUAAAACACUAAACAUUAUAGGUACAGUAUCGAUUAGUAGUCUACUAUUCAUCUAAAUUUUUCAGGACUAAACAAAAUAUAUGUUUCUCUUAAAAUAAAAUAUUGUAGAUAAUAUAUAGUAUGUUGAUAAAAAUAUCAUUAAAUAGCAUAUGCCACUAUCUAUAUUAUUAAAGUUGAAGUACACAUUGAGAUUGUUUGGCAAUAUGGAUAGUAGUUAAAAAAUAGUACUCUUUGGAAACAUGGAUAGUAGUAAGUUAGGAAAAAAAAUAAUGGGCUUAUGCUACUAAAAAAUAUUGGAAGUUCAUUACAUUAUGUUAAAAACUUUUGUGUCUAUGUUACUUGAUAUAUAUAUUCAAAUCAAAAUAAUAAUUUAAAAUUAAUUUAUAUCAAAAAUUCAUUCAAAAAUAUAUAUAUUCAAAAUUUGAUUUUACUAACAUAUUUUCCAAUAACUAUUAUAAAAAUAUUUUCAAUAUAUAUAA